UUGGGGAAACACCGUCACUAUAAAUGAAGUCACCCCAUCCUCCCUGCCCCCCCGUGUCUCCACCCUCUGCUACACCUCAGAGUCCCCCCAAAGAGCUGUGCUGCUGCUUUCUGUUCCUUUAGAUGUUUCACCUGUCUCAGAGGUCCCUUCCGCCAGCUCCAAGCCCGUCGGCCCGUGCCUGAGAACAGAGGAACGUGUCCAUUAACAGCAGUUCACACACAUGGCUGGACACGGGUUUCUACUGUGCUGAACGUGCUCUUCGCACACCAGCUGGCAGAGCAGAAAGGAGCACGCGUCUCACUGAAGCUUCCUUACCUGAGGUAAUAGUCUGGUACUAAUCCAUCCGAGUGAGGAAAAGAGGAAAGUGGCUGCAGUUGCACAAAGGGUCCCCAGUUCCACAUCUGCAGGGAGACACGGAGCCACACAGAGCUCCAGGAUCUUUGCUUUUUCCUUUUCCUCCUUUUAAUACAAAGUCCUUUCAUACAAGUCCCAUAAGUGGUACCUUCCCACGCACCAGCCAGUCCAGCCUUAGGAGACUACAAAGCCACGAGUUAAAGUGAAAAGGACCAAGGCAGAAGUUCAGGUCACUUCCUAUCUGUUCCAUCAUACUUCCAGGAAACGGGAGCUGCUGGACUUGGAGUGGAAAGGCUCAGACCACAUGCGACGUAGAUCGCCCUGGGCAGGAAAAGAGCAGGAAGACCAUGCCCUCAGAAACACUGACAUCCACUUAGAAUUCGCAUUUUAAAAUGCGUAUAUAAUUGCAGGCAUGUCUUAAAGCAAAUCUAUUCUUCACCUGGUUUGCAAGUUACAACAAAGGCAGUAAAAAAUCAACCCCCUUC